rnacentral:tRNA from 1 species
GGUGGCUCACUGGUAGAGUGCUUGCCUUGAAUGCAUGAGGCCCUGGGUUCAAUUCCUCAGCACCA